rnacentral:lncRNA from 1 species
CAUAGGACUAGAUUGUGGAUAAUCUGGUCCAAGCUUCCUUCAGCUUUUACAAGUGUAUGUAUCAAUCCUUUUAUUAGGCCAUGACAAAAUUGGACGUUGUGAGGAAGCAAUGCUGGUGGCUAGUUUUAUUGGUGUCUGGUUCAAUGUCCUGUUCCACUUCUUCAUUGAGUUUUGCUUCAUCAAAGUUUGUCAAAUUUUAGCCUCUAAUAAUGGAGCUCCCUCCAUUUCAGAUUGGGGUUCCAUUGCUCCAGCCUGCUAUUCUGUUGUUGCCAUUGAUGUUAAUUUUCUUGUAUUCCUUGCCUUAAAUAUAAACUGUUUUAUGCUUGUUGGUGGUGUUUUAUAAUGUUUAUAUGACUUUAUUUUAAAACUGUUAUGUAGUCUAUGGGGCUACCUCAUAAUGUUUUUAUGACUUUAUUUUCAAACUGUCAUGUAGUCUAUGGGGCUACCUCAAUGAAGUUCUGGGUUUGUGUUUUACAGUGUGCUUUAUGAUUACAUUUGGAUCAAAUGGACCAACUAUUUGAAUGGGUUGACCC